rnacentral:rRNA from 1 species
GAUUCCCCUAGUAACUGCGAGUGAAGCGGGAAAAGCUCAAAUUUAAAAUCUGGCAGUCUUUGAUUGUCCGAGUUGUAAUCUAGAGAAGCAUUAUCCGCGCUGGACCGUGUACAAGUCUCCUGGAAUGGAGCGUCAUAGAGGGUGAGAAUCCCGUCUUUGACACGGACUGCCAGGGCUUUGUGAUGUGCUCUCAAAGAGUCGAGUUGUUUGGGAAUGCAGCUCAAAAUGGGUGGUAAAUUCCAUCUAAAGCUAAAUAUUGGCGAGAGACCGAUAGCGAACAAGUACCGUGAGGGAAAGAUGAAAAGAACUUUGGAAAGAGAGUUAAACAGUACGUGAAAUUGCUGAAAGGGAAACGCUUGAAGUCAGUCGCGUUGUCCGGGAAUCAACCUUGCUUUUGCUGGGCGUACUUCCUGGUUAACGGGUCAGCAUCAAUUUUGAUCGUUGGAUAAAGUGUUUGGGAAUGUGGCAUCUUCGGAUGUGUUAUAGCCCAGAUUCGCAUACAACGGUUGGGAUUGAGGAACUCAGCACGCCGAAAGGCCGGGUUUUUAACCACGUUCGUGCUUAGGAUGCUGGCAUAAUGGCUUUAAUCGACCCGUCUUGAAACACGGACCAAGGAGUCUAACAUGCCUGCGAGUGUUUGGGUGGAAAACCCGAGCGCGUAAUGAAAGUGAAAGUUGAGAUCCCUGUCGUGGGGAGCAUCGACGCCCGGACUUGAACUUCUGUGACGGAUCCGCGGUAGAGCAUGUAUGUUGGGACCCGAAAGAUGGUGAACUAUGCCUGAAUAGGGUGAAGCCAGAGGAAACUCUGGUGGAGGCUCGUAGC